rnacentral:lncRNA from 1 species
GACUCCAUUUCAAAAACGAAACAAAACAGAACAACAACAACAACAACAACAAAAAACCCAAAAAGAACCCAGUCAUCACAGAAUCUGUACAUGGCCUGUGGGUGGUAGAUGCUGGCCCUACACAUGAACGGUUCCAUGGUCCUCAUCCAUGACAGAGUAGGACCUAUGACCCAGAUCCUUUGGCAGUGAGUUCAGUGCUCUUUCUUCUUAUGCCAUGCUCGGCCAUGAGGAGAAAUCCUGAAGUUCUGCACAUUCUUUGAAAAAACACAGUGAUGGAAGUGAGACAGAUUGUGGGCACAGGGCCAUAGCCCUGUUGAAUCUGCACUUGUUCCACAAGGUUUGAGUUGUUCCCUCAGACUUUCAGAAAAUCAUUGUUGUGCUAAUGUUUCUUCUUGCUUUCUUUUAAGGAAAAGUGUUUGAGAAGAGUACAACACAGCCACCACCAUUUUUUCCUAGGUCAACAAGCACGCCUGUGUUCUGAUAAUUAAGAGUCCUAAUGAUACACAUCUAAUGGUAAAAAGUUCAGGGUUACUGACUUUAGUCAUGGCUGGAUCCAGGUGUUUAACAUGAUUUUAUCAGGAAGUUGCUUCUCUCUCUGCCUCUGCCUUCCUUGGCAUUGAAUUCAUUUUUAGGAUGUGUGGGGGUUUACUGUUGAGGUGGUCACUGGCAGCUCUAGGUUUAUGUUCUCACAAAUGAAUGACUCUUUCUUGAUCACACCAGCAGUACUUCUAGGAUUAUCUCUUAUUGGACCAAUUUAUGUCCCAUUUCUACUGCUGAGCCAUUUCAUCAGUUCAUUGUUAAACCAUUCAGACAAAAUACAUUGACUGCUUUCCAUGUUCCAGCAGCCACACACUUUUUAUGAGGAGCCUUCAAAUAUUAAAAUAAAGGAAUACUAGCAGUAUUUUUUAGGAAUAAUGUGUUUUUCAAGUUCAAUGCUAUAUUACAUUAAGCACUGUGAAGCCAGGCUGUGGGAACAAUAAAGCUUUUUUUGAUGAACCUCAAAAUUGCAAAUUGAGGUGGUGAAUGACAGUCAUCUCCUUUUCUCUGAGGAGCCCAAAUGUCAGAAUGCACCCAUGUCUGAGGUCAUCCUUCCUUUGAAAUACCUGCCACGAUGACUGCAGCUCCUGCAGGUUUCCCUCCCCAGGUCCCGUGGGAAGAUGUCCGUUAUCUCUUUGAUGAGAUCAUGUAUGGAGGCCACAUCACAGAUGACGGGGAUUGCAAACUGUGUCGGGUGUAUUUAGAAGAAUUCAUGAAUCCAUCUCUGCUAGCUGCCCUGUCAGGAACACAUGCAUGUGGUGAAAAACCGAGACUUCCAGCCAACAGCCAUGUGAGCGAGCCAUCUUGGAAGUGGAUCCUCCAGCCCCAGUCAAGCCUUCAGAUGACUGCAGCUUUGGCCAACAUCUUGACUGCAACUUCCUGAGAGACCCUGAGCAAGAAUCACACCAUGAAGAUGUUCCUAGUUUUCUGAUUCUCAGAAACUGGCUGCCAUGUGAAGAAGGACAUGUUUGCUUCCACUUCUGCCACGAUUCAGUGUGAGAAUGGACUAAUACAGGGUCUGUGUUGGACAGGAAGGACAUGAAGAGAGGAAGGGCUGGUGGAGAGAAUGCAGAGUAGUCAUAAGACACGAGCCUCCUCUGAUGGUCGACUUUGCCUUGAGAACUCAGAUGACCUUGCCAGAAUCUUCUUAGAUAGCUUGGAACUCUAGAACAUUUCUACUCACCCUUCUUCCUUCUCCCAUUCACUCAAGGCCAGACCUGCAAUGUGAUCUGACAACUCCCAGCCUUACAAGGUUCUCUUCCAAUUUUCUCUCACAGGGAUUUUCCCUAAUAAAAUCAUCACACAUUUAAUC